UUCCUUCGCAUAAUCGACUCCCGAACCCUAGAUUUGGUUGCGAGACCUUGUCUUUUCCUUCUCUCCAGGUUUUCUUCGAUCAUUUCCUUUCCCUUAUUUGGGAUAAAUAAAGAACGGUGGCGACUCUUCUGCUUCUUUUCUUCGCCGGUUGUUUUUUCGCACCAGUUGUGACACUCUCAACAGAUGAAUAUUGUUGAGCAAACAUCGGAAGCUCUACAACAGGUUACAACCAUUGAUGUUACGCCCUCAACAACUUC
rnacentral:lncRNA from 1 species